AAUCAACGCUGGCGGCGUGCCUCAGACAUGCAAGUCGAACGAUUAAAGCUCUCUUCGGAGAGUGUAUAGAGUGGCGCACGGGUGAGUAACACGUAAGUAAUCUACCCUCGAGUGGGGAAUAACGUUCGGAAACGAACGCUAAUACCGCAUAAUGCAGCGGCAUCGCAAGAUGACAGUUGUUAAAGGAGUAAUUCGCUUGA
rnacentral:rRNA from 1 species